rnacentral:rRNA from 1 species
UUGAUAGAGUAAACUUAAAGGAUUUUUAAGAUUUUUAAUAGAUUAUUUGAAAUAACUUUAAAUUUUUGGUUUCAGUAUAGGAAUAGAAUCAAUUUAUAUAUUUAUAGUAUAUUAGUAUUGUGAAAGAAAGUUGAAAAAUUUUGAAAAUGAUUUUGUAAGGAAGUAGGUUGUUAACGUACCUUGUGUAUCAGGGUUUAUUAAAAUUAUGAUAGGUAUUUAUUUUUCCCGAAUUAAAAAGAGCUAGUCUACUAUAUUAGUUAAUGUGUUAUCAUUAUUAAUAAUAGUGGAUUUGUAAUGAAAUAUUAGUCGGUUUUUAAGGUAUCUGGUUCUCUAAGAAGUGAAUUUAAUUCAGGAUUUAUUAGGCAGUCUUUCUAUUCGAUUAUAGGCUGUAUAUUAAAUUUAAUACCUUAAGGGAUAAGCUUUAAGGUGGUUGUUAUAAUUAUUGCAGAAUAUAAAAAAUUGUAGGCUUUAAAUUAGCCAUCAUUGAAAUAAUGUUAUAAAUUAUUUUAUAAAAAUAURAUUUUAUAAUAAUAUUAAAUAGUAUAUUGGAGUGAAUUAUGAAAUUAUUUGUAAUUGUAAUAAUGAUAAAAUUAGUAUAUGUAUGUAGUGUAUAGUAUUUACUAUAUGAGAAUUUACGAAAAGGAACUAGGCAAAAGUAAUAUUCGCCUGUUUAUCAAAAACAUGUCCUUUUGGGUUUAAUUUAAGGUCGGGCCUGCCCACUGAUGAAUUUAAGGGCCGCGGUAUUUUGACCGUGCAAAGGUAGCAUAAUCAUUAGUCUUUUAAUUGAGGGCUGGAAUGAAUGGUUUGACGAAAUAUUAACUGUCUCUUUAUAAUAAGUAGAAUUUAACUUUUGAGUCAAAAGGCUUAGAUAAUUGUAAAAGACGAGAAGACCCUAUAGAUCUUUAUAUAUAAAUAUAUUUAUUUUGUUUAGAUUAGGUUUUAAUAAUUAUAUGAUUGUAUUUUGUUGGGGUGACGUGAAGAUAAAAAUAACUCUUCAUUAUUAAUACAUUGAUUUAUGAAUAAUUGAUCCGUUAUUGGCGAUUACAAGAAAAAGUUACCUUAGGGAUAACAGCGUAAUUUUUUUUGAGAGUUCUUAUCGACAAGAAAGAUUGCGACCUCGAUGUUGGAUUAAGGAAUAUGAUUAGGUGUAGAAGUUUAAUUAAUAAGUCUGUUCGACUUUUAAAUCCUUACAUGAUCUGAGUUCAGACCGGCGUAAGCCAGGUCGGUUUCUAUCUUUAUAAAUAAAGGAUAUUUUAGUACGAAAGGACCAAAUAUCUAAAAUAAUUUUUGUGGAUGAUAAAUGUUAAUA